ensembl:snRNA U2 U2 spliceosomal RNA
AUGUCUUCUUGGCCUUUUGGCUAAGAUCAAGUGUAGACAUUAAUAAUAUUGCUAUUUUAAUACUUUUUUUUUGGGGGGGGACGGAGUCUCUCUCUGUUGCCCAGGCUGGAGUGCAGUGGCAUGAUCCCGGCUCACUGCAACCUCCACCUC